CAGUCGCCGCGGGAAUACAGAGGGUGCGAGCGUUAAUCGGAUUUACUGGGCGUAAAGCGUGCGUAGGCGGCUAAUUGAGUCGGAUGUGAAAUCCCCGAGCUUAACUUGGGAAUUGCAUUCGAUACUGGUUAGCUAGAGUGUGGGAGAGGAUGGUAGAAUUCCAGGUGUAGCGGUGAAAUGCGUAGAGAUCUGGAGGAAUACCGAUGGCGAAGGCAGCCAUCUGGCCUAACACUGACGCUGAGGUACGAAAGCAUGGGGAGCAAACAGGAUUAGAUACCCCCGUAAUCCCUGUCUCUUAUAA
rnacentral:rRNA from 1 species